GCCUUCGUGGUGUAGUGGUCAACCCACUCGACGCGUAACCGAGAGGUCCGUGGUUCGAUUCUCGGCGAAGGCA
rnacentral:tRNA from 1 species